rnacentral:rRNA from 1 species
UACGAAGGGGGCUAGCGUUGCUCGGAAUCACUGGGCGUAAAGCGCACGUAGGCGGCUUUUUAAGUCAGGGGUGAAAUCCUGGAGCUCAACUCCAGAACUGCCUUUGAUACUGAGAAGCUUGAGUCCGGGAGAGGUGAGUGGAACUGCGAGUGUAGAGGUGAAAUUCGUAGAUAUUCGCAAGAACACCAGUGGCGAAGGCGGCUCACUGGCCCGGUACCGACGCUGAGGUGCGAAAGCGUGGGGAGCAAACAGG